UACGGAGGGUGCGAGCGUUGUCCGGAAUCACUGGGCGUAAAGGGCGCGUAGGCGGCUCAUGAAGGCUGUGGUGAAAGUCCGGGGCUCAACCUCGGAUCGGCCGUGGCGACUCGUGGGCUGGAGCACUGUAGAGGCAGGUGGAAUUCCCGGUGUAGCGGUGGAAUGCGUAGAGAUCGGGAAGAACAUCAGUGGCGAAGGCGGCCUGCUGGGCUGUUGCUGACGCUGAGGCGCGACAGCGUGGGGAGCAAACAGG
rnacentral:rRNA from 1 species